rnacentral:rRNA from 1 species
CCUACGGGAGGCAGCAGUGAGGAAUAUUGGUCAAUGGGCGCGAGCCUGAACCAGCCAAGUAGCGUGAAGGAUGACUGCCCUACGGGUUGUAAACUUCUUUUAUAAAGGAAUAAAGUGAGGCACGUGUGCCUUUUUGUAUGUACUUUAUGAAUAAGGAUCGGCUAACUCCGUGCCAGCAGCCGCGGUAAUACGGAGGAUCCGAGCGUUAUCCGGAUUUACUGGGUGUAAAGGGAGCGUAGACGGCAGUGCAAGUCUGGAGUGAAAGGCGGGGGCUCAACCCCCGGACUGCUCUGGAAACUGUACGGCUGGAGUGCAGGAGAGGUAAGUGGAAUUCCUAGUGUAGCGGUGAAAUGCUUAGAUAUCACGAAGAACUCCGAUUGCGAAGGCAGCUUACUAAACUGCCACUGACAUUGAUGCUCGAAAGUGUGGGUAUCAAACAGGAUUAGAUACCCCUGUAGUC